rnacentral:rRNA from 1 species
UACAGAGGUCCCGAGCGUUGUUCGGAUUCACUGGGCGUAAAGGGCGCGUAGGCGGGAUGGCAAGUCGGUCGUGAAAUCCUUCGGCUCAACCGAAGAACGUCGGCCGAUACUGCCGUUCUUGAGGGAUGCAGAGGAGAUUGGAAUUCCCGGUGUAGCGGUGAAAUGUGUAGAGAUCGGGAGGAACACCGGUGGCGAAGGCGGGUCUCUGGGCAUCUCCUGACGCUGAGGCGCGAAAGGCGUGGGGAGCAAACGGG